rnacentral:lncRNA from 1 species
GGGCCACAGUUCUGCGCGCCCCUCGACCAAGGCGUCGGGUCCCCCUGCAGUCGAUGCACCGGGUACCACCGCAGUCGACGUACCGGGCCUCCCCUCGACUAAGGUGGCAGGCCUCCUGUGAUAGCCCUCCCAAGUUAUCAGGCCCACAUGCACCAAUCCUUGCCUUAAUGACCUCAGAUGGCUGUGCACGUGUACCGGGUAACUUAACAAGGCUAUCGAGUUCGCCAACUGGAACUCAUCAUCCCAAGGAUCUCCCACAUAACAGGUAUAUUACAAUAAUCACAUUUGAUACACACACAUUGGAGAUAGAGCGGAAGACUUUUACAAAGUACACUUUACAUUCCAGAACUCAAGUUUUACAUGGUAGAAAGAGAUGUAUUUAUUACAAGUCCUGAUAGUACUCGAAGUGCAUAACUUAUUACAAUAAUUGGAAGGGUGAAGCCUUUCCAUAAGAGAUAUAUAAAAACAUUCUAAGCUUCAAGUCCUCCACAUGAAGUAACUAACCCAAAGAUAAGGGAAUAAAACUUCUCCUACAAAAACAACAAGGGAUAAAACCCUGAGUACGCAAUUACUCAGCAAGACUUACCCGAUUAAAGAAAAGACUCUCAAGGGUAUGCUGGCUUUUGGGAAUCAAGGUAAAGCUCAUCAAAGUUCAAGGACUCAUUUUGCAGAAAAGCUUACUAGAAGUGGGUCCUUAAGCCAAGUUUUAUUUCACAAGUUAGUUUAUUACCUGAAUCUUCUAGCCUGAAUCUAGCAUUUUCCUAAUCUAGAUCAUUCACUUGACCUACACUAGGUUGCUUUUAAAAUCCAAAUUUUGUUUCGCUUGUUAUCUACGAUGAAGGGCAGCGAUCCAGUCUUCAUAUCCGAGAAGUAACGGCGAUCCGAAUCGAUUAAUACCCAGCUAGGGAUCUCCAGCCACACGACAUAUGUAGCACUUAACCCUUGCAUAUGUCUACCAUUCCCAUGGGUCCUCCACUACGUGAACCGGUCCGCGCCACCCGAGAGUACGGUACUCCACCAUCCAGCCACGUGUCAGGUGGGUACACGCCACUCCCGCCAUCUCUCCACUCCCAGUGCGCGAUUGUCUUUUCACAUAUGGAGUAGCCGGGUUCAGGCUUACCCAUGAUGAGGUAUGUGGCCAGUUAAAAGGUCCUAGAUCAACAAGCCUACAAUCGGUACGGUCCUUGAUCGACACAGACGAGCGACCUGUCCAGCUCAACGUCUGGUCUCAUUUUAAACAAAUUCUCAAAGUUUGAUACCUGGCAGAGGUACCCUGCUUGAAUGAUGAAUUCAUCCCCGUGGAGGAUGGCUCCAUCAUCCCAAGCCCUUUUUCUUUUUAAAAAUCAUGAGUCAUAGAUCAAAAACAUUUUUCUUAAUCUAUAAGCAUAACUAAGCAUUACUAGUUUUUAUAAAACAGGUAACAAGGUAUGAUAAUCAAUCUUUCAAGGAUGGUAAUGCAUCAAGUGUUUAAUCAUUCAACUCCUAUUACCUAAUGCAGCAUAUAAGUGAUAAAAUUUUGUAAUACAAGGAAGGUGGCAAAUGCACCGGGGCUUGCCUUAGUUGCAGAGACAGAGGUCUAAAUCCCUCUAUUAAACCCCAGUUAGAUGGCUCCCAUCACUUGAUGAGCAGGCACUGAAGCAGACUCCUCUUCAGAAACCACUUCUUGAAUUUCAUCUUCUUCUUCUGGGAAUUCUACAUGUAAAGAUAUGAACAUGAAUGCUUAUGCUGAUGCAACUUGAAAAUAAAAUACUAAAAAGCAUCACAAGACUUACACCUCUCUAAACGUGCACACAAAAACUAAUAAAACCUUAAGAGAGCUAAAUACUUAAAUAUCACAACUCAAUUCACCAACUAAACUAGGAAACCUUGCCUCCGUAACCAACCAAGCACUUCAUUUAUGCCUUAAGCAAGGAUCCAAACUGCAUGCACUACAAGUUAUAGUGUCCAAGAAUCAGUCACAAUUCACUGAACCUGCUUUCAGUUCUCUGAAUUCAUCUUCCAUUGCUCCAUUCCUCUCCCCAAUUUCUUCACCGUAACAAGCCCAACUAUUCACAUGAAACUUGUUUGCCUUACCUUGGUAUUUCACUUUGUUAUGGAACUCCUAACCUAAAACCCCAUGAUUUGGUCACCAAAGAGCUCCAAACUGAGCACCAACAGUGAAAUUCCAGUUUUCAGUUAACUGAAUCCAGUUCAUUAGCAAUACCGCUCCCUUUUGCUUUCUUCUUUGUUCAAGCCCAGAUAUCUAACAAUUCUUCUCAACAACCAACCAACCUUUGUGAACCAAUAUUACUCUCCUACUAUAGCCCUUCCCAUUUGGUAUAAAACCCCUAAGCUGAAAAUACUUAGAACAGUAGCUAUGGUGCACAAAAGUUAGAGCAAAACACUGAAAAGUUCAGUUCCUUGAUCUGAAACAGCACCUUACCAUGUCUGAUAGAGAGUUUUGCAAUAGGCUUUUCUCAAAAUUCCAUAAAUCAACAAGCCAAUCUACUUGUAUAAAACUGGUUCUCCUACACUUAGGUCUUUCACCUUUCUAUAAAACUCUUAACCCAAUUCUGGUUUGAUUAAUUACCACAGAGCUCCAAAGUUGACUAAACAAUACCCUAAACAGGUUUUCAGUUAGCUGAAACAGCCCACUCCAAGUCUGACAGAAGGUUUUGUAACACUAUUUUCUCGCAAUUCCAUAUGAGGGCUCAAUGUAUUUCCUUACUAUGAAUGGUUCCUCUAUAAUCUCUCUCCAUCUUUGUUACAACAGCUACUAGCUAACCCUAAACAGAUCUCAAGUUACAGAGCACCAAACUUGAGGUGGAAACGCAAAGGCUAAAUUUCAGCUAACUGAAAAAGACCUGAACACAACACCUGACAUAGAAAAUUGCAGCACAUAUUUCUCCAUAUUUUACACAGUAGUAAGCCCCACUCCUCUGAUGAAGCUUGUUCACCUUCAUCUGGUCUUUGACUUUUCUAUACAACUGGUAACUCAAAACCUCAUGAACUGGUCAUAGGAGAGCUCCAAACUGAGCAAUCUGCUGCAAUCCAGUUUUCAGCUAAUCUGAACAAAAAUUCAGUCAGUGCAAACUCACAGUCCAUUUUUGGGCAGCUUUCACUCUAUUUUCCAUACACACCCAAACCAAACCUACUUAAGGAGAAUGGUUUACCAUCAUAUGAGCUUCUCUAUCUUAUGCAGAGCACAAAAUAUGCACAACUCGACUGAGGAAACCUUUGAAGUUACCUGGUCACGGCGAGGUGGACUGAUUGCCGACGAUGGUCACCACCUAGGGACUGGUACACCAAGCUCUGGGCAGAUGGACCAAGAUAUUGGGAGGGGAUUAACUCCGGGGAAACAUAGGCUACAAGAGCCAAGGAGAUCACUCGAGCUCUAGGACUGCACGGCCUACUGGACCAUGACUUAAGUAGGAGAUGGGAAGACUAGGGCAGAUCGAGUUGGUGGCUGGGAAGAGGAGCCUAGACUUACAAACACGAACCGCUAAG